CCAGCCCUUGACAUCCCGAUCGCGAGAACCAGAGAUGGAUCUCUUCAGUUAGGCUGGAUCGGAGACAGGUGCUGCAUGGCUGUCGUCAGCUCGUGUCGUGAGAUGUUGGGUUAAGUCCCGCAACGAGCGCAACCCUCGCCCUUAGUUGCCAGCAUUUAGUUGGGCACUCUAGGGGGACUGCCGGUGAUAAGCCGGAGGAAGGUGGGGAUGACGUCAAGUCCUCAUGGCCCUUACGGGCUGGGCUACACACGUGCUACAAUGGCGGUGACAAUGAGC
rnacentral:rRNA from 1 species